AACGAACGCUGGCGGCAUGCCUAACACAUGCAAGUCGAACGAGACCUUCGGGUCUAGUGGCGCACGGGUGCGUAACGCGUGGGAACCUGCCCUUAGGUUCGGAAUAACUCCCCGAAAGGGGUGCUAAUACCGGAUAAUGUCUUCGGACCAAUGAUUUAUCGACUUUGGAUGGGCCCGCGUUGGAUUAGCUAGUUGGUAGGGUAAAAGCCUACCAAGGCGACGAUCCAUAGCUGGUCUGAGAGAAUGAUCAGCCACACUGGGGAGGAGACAGGGCCGAACAUCGUGCGAGGGGCGAAAGGGGGAUAUAGGCAAACCGGGGGGAAGACGAGACCCAGCGGGUCCUGGAGGGAUGUAGGGGGGAUAGGGUUGAAGAGGUUUUUUACCCGGGUUUAAUGACGGUACCCGGAGAAAAAGCGCCGGCGAACUCCGUG
rnacentral:rRNA from 1 species